rnacentral:rRNA from 1 species
GAUGAACGCUAGCGGCAGGCCUAAUACAUGCAAGUCGAACGGCAGCAUGGAAGAGCUUGCUCUUCUGAUGGCGAGUGGCGAACGGGUGAGUAAUGCAUCGGAACGUGCCCAGUCGUGGGGGAUAACGCAGCGAAAGCUGUGCUAAUACCGCAUACGAUCUAUGGAUGAAAGCGGGGGACCUUAGGGCCUCGCGCGAUUGGAGCGGCCGAUGUCAGAUUAGCUAGUUGGUGGGGUAAAGGCCCACCAAGGCGACGAUCUGUAGCUGGUCUGAGAGGACGACCAGCCACACUGGGACUGAGACACGGCCCAGACUCCUACGGGAGGCAGCAGUGGGGAAUUUUGGACAAUGGGCGCAAGCCUGAUCCAGCAAUGCCGCGUGCAGGAAGAAGGCCUUCGGUUGUAACUGCUUUG